GAUUUCUGACUUUGAUAUGUCUGGCCCGCCGAGGUUACUCGUGUGAGUGCUGGAACAUGUCGGUCAUCCUUCUAGACAGCGGUCCUACCCUUAACUGGGCCGGGAUGUCUGCCAUCUAGAUCUUUUACUUUGAAAAAAUUAGAGUGUUUCAAGCAGGCGAUUGCUAUGAAUACAUUAGCAUGGAAUAAUAAUAUAGGACUUCGGUUCUAUUUUGUUGGUUUCUAGGACUGAAGUAAUGAUUGAUAGGGAUAGUUGGGGGUGCUAGUAUUCAGUGGCCAGAGGUGAAAUUCUUGGAUUCACUGAAGACUAACUAAUGCGAAAGCAUU
rnacentral:rRNA from 1 species